GGUUCAGGACGAACGCUGGCGGCAUGCUUCAUACAUGCAAGUCGAACGAUAAGGUCUCUUCGGAGAUACAUAAGUGGCGGACGGGUGAGUAAUAUGUAGGAAAUCUGCCCUAGAGAGGGGGACAACAGAGGGAAACUUCUGCUAAUACCCCAUAUGAGCGUACCUGAAAUGGUAUUCUUGAAAACUCCGGUGCUCUAGGAUGAGCCUGCAUCUGAUUAGCUUGUUGGCGGUGUAAUGGACCACCAAGGCGACGAUCAGUAGCUGGUUUGAGAGGAUGAUCAGCCACAAUGGGACUGAGACACGGCCCAUACUCCUACGGGAGGCAGCAGUAGGGAAUUUUGCGCAAUGGGCGAAAGCCUGACGCAGCAAUGCCGCGUGAACGUAGAAGCCCUUCGGGGUGUAAAGUUCUGUCAGUGGGGACGAAUUUUGACGGUACCCGCAGAGGAAGCACCGGCUAACUCCGUGCCAGCCGCCGC
rnacentral:rRNA from 1 species